rnacentral:rRNA from 1 species
UCGUGGCGUGAGUCGUCUGCUUAAUUGCGAUAACGAGCGAGACUCUAACUGUUAACUAGCACAAUCUUUUCUUCUGAGAUUGAGGCUUCUUAACUGGAUUCGAGAUUCCAAAUCUCAAGAAAUGGAGCAAUAACA